rnacentral:rRNA from 1 species
AGCGAACGCUGGCGGCAGGCCUAAUACAUGCAAGUCGAGCGGUCCCUUCGGGGGCAGCGGCGGACGGGUGAGUAACGCGUGGGAACGUGCCCUUUGGUACGGAACAACUGAGGGAAACUUCAGCUAAUACCGUAUGUGCCCUUCGGGGGAAAGAUUUAUCGCCAUUGGAGCGGCCCGCGUUGGAUUAGCUAGUUGGUGGGGUAAAGGCCUACCAAGGCGACGAUCCAUAGCUGGUCUGAGAGGAUGAUCAGCCACAUUGGGACUGAGACACGGCCCAAACUCCUACGGGAGGCAGCAGUGGGGAAUAUUGGACAAUGGGCGCAAGCCUGAUCCAGCCAUGCCGCGUGAGUGAUGAAGGUCUUAGGAUUGUAAAGCUCUUUCACCGGUGAAGAUAAUGACGGUAACCGGAGAAGAAGCCCCGGCUAACUUCGUGCCAGCAGCCGCCGUAACAC